GACGAACGCUGGCGGCGUGCCUAACACAUGCAAGUCGAGCGGGGUUGAAGCGAGAGGUAACUCGAACUUCUACCUAGCGGCGGACGGGUGAGUAACGCGUGGGCAACCUGCCUCAAGGUCUGGGAUAACAGCCCGAAAGGGCUGCUAAUACUGGGUAUGCUUGUGGCCUCGCAUGGGGCUAUGAGCAAAGGGGAAACCCGCCUUGAGAUGGGCCCGCGUCCCAUCAGCUAGUUGGUGAGGUAACAGCUCACCAAGGCGACGACGGGUAGCCGGCCUGAGAGGGUGACCGGCCACACUGGGACUGAGACACGGCCCAGACUCCUACGGGGGGCAGCAGUGGGGGAUCUUGCACAAUGGGCGAAAGCCUGAUGCAGCGACGCCGCGUGAGCGAAGAAGGCCUUCGGGUUGUAAAGCUCUGUCUGGAGGGACGAAGGAAGUGACGGUACUCCGGAGGAGCCACGGCUAACUACGUGCCAGCAGCCGCGGUAAGAUC
rnacentral:rRNA from 1 species